AACGCUAGCUACAGGCUUAACACAUGCAAGUCGAGGGGAAACGAUAGAGAAAGCUUGCUUUUUCUAGGUGUCGACCGGCGCACGGGUGAGUAACGCGUAUCCAACCUGCCCAUCACUUGGGGAUAACCUUGCGAAAGUAAGACUAAUACCCAAUGAUAUCUCUAGAAGACAUCUGAAGGAGAUUAAAGAUUCAUCGGUGAUGGAUGGGGAUGCGUCUGAUUAGCUUGUUGGCGGGGUAACGGCCCACCAAGGCAACGAUCAGUAGGGGUUCUGAGAGGAAGGUCCCCCACAUUGGAACUGAGACACGGUCCAAACUCCUACGGGAGGCAGCAGUGAGGAAUAUUGGUCAAUGGGCGAGAGCCUGAACCAGCCAAGUAGCGUGCAGGAAGACGGCCCUAUGGGUUGUAAACUGCUUUUAUAAGGGAAUAAAGUGAGUCUCGUGAGACUUUUUGCAUGUACCUUAUGAAUAAGGACCGGCUAAUUCCGUGCCAGCAGCCGCGGUAAUACGGAAGGUCCGGGCGUUAUCCGGAUUUAUUGGGUUUAAAGGGAGCGUAGGCCGGAGAUUAAGCGUGUUGUGAAAUGUAGACGCUCAACGUCUGCACUGCAGCGCGAACUGGUUUCCUUGAGUACGCACAAAGUGGGCGGAAUUCGUGGUGUAGCGGUGAAAUGCUUAGAUAUCACGAAGAACUCCGAUUG
rnacentral:rRNA from 1 species